rnacentral:rRNA from 1 species
CGACGUGAGUAACCUGCCUUUCAGAGGGGGAGUAACGUUCUGAAAAGAGCGCUAAUACCGCAUGAGACUACAGAGCUGCAUGGCUCAGUGGUCAAAGGAGCAAUCCGCUGAAAGAUGGACUCGCGUCCGAUUAGCUAGUUGGUGAGGUAAUGGCCCACCAAGGCAACGAUCGGUAGCCGGACUGAGAGGUUGAACGGCCACAUUGGGACUGAGACACGGCCCAGACUCCUACGGGAGGCAGCAUG